GGGCCCGUAGCUCAGGGGUAGAGCGCCUGCCUUGCACGCAGGAGGCCUCGGGUUCAAAUCCCGACGGGUCCA
rnacentral:tRNA from 1 species